rnacentral:misc_RNA from 1 species
GGUUGAUUUCGUGUGCUUCCUAGGAUGUUCUGACAUCAAACCCAGUCAGGGCCCGACUUCCUUGAACCUUAAUCACUCACUCUAAUCAAGUGGUAAAAUACAAUUAUAUCAAUUCUAUAUCCUAGACUUCCUAAAAACAUAUAAUAGACCUUUAAUGUACAUCAUCUAGGUCCUUUUAGAUAGCAAAAUCGUGUUUUUGAGCCUUAGAACUAAAGGAGAAAUAAGGCUGACAAAAUCAAGUUUAGCUGUUGAAGUCUUGGACUUCGACUACCGAAACCUUGAACAUCAGCUACCCUUUUCGGG